rnacentral:lncRNA from 1 species
UUGUAGUAAUGAUGUAAGUAGGGAUCGUUCUAACUGGGGAUUAACUAGGGGUACUAAUCACUUGAAAACUGAAUUAGAAACGUAAAAACAAAGUUUAAAACACUAGAUUAGACUCAAGGAAUGCAAAACUAACGUUUAAAAUACUAAAACAAACCAAAAACUCAAAACAGCAACCAAAAGACUCAAAACUGCCUUAAAAACA